ensembl:lncRNA
CAGUUUUGCAGUUAUGGGAAACAGUAACUCCACAUCAGGCCUCAUCACACCACACAGUCGUUGAUUAUUUUCCCAUAACAGCACAACCUCCAUUGUUUUAUUCUUUACUUAACACUUGCUACUAUAUAAACAGAACUGAACAUUACAGGCAGCUCGGUGUAGCACGUUCAAGCGCCUUGAUUUAGACUGAAGGUUGUACUUUUCCGGUUACAAAUGAGUGGAUAAUUAUAUCACAUCGCAGCCCAGAGUCCUUUAACCUGUAAGACACACUCAACAUAUUUAGAUGAUUCCUUUUGCCUAGAGCAGAUUGCACUGUCCAAUAACGGAGCAACACGGGGUUCAGAGUUUUUGCUCAAGGGCACAAUGGCAACAGUUUUCAGCGGGGAUGAAACCCCUGACUCGAUCAAAGCCGCUGGACUAGCACUCCAGAUCCACAAAGCUAAGACGAUGUUCGAAAGGAAGGCCAAGAGGGAGGGACACACUGCACUUCCUCCCUGUCCACUGCUUUAUUAUAUCAUCCCUACAAGACAGAGAUGAAGGAGUCAGGCGACGGGCGCAGAAGCAACCUGCAACCUCUCUUGAUGUCUCCUUUUCCGCUUGGGAAACGAUGCGUCACAGAGAACCGGGUUCACCUCCUUACCAGGCACGCUGCCAUGCUCUGAUCUUCCUUUUCUUAUUUAUUUAUUUAUUUAUUUAUUUAUUUAUUUUAAAAAUGUGUACAUCUGUAUGAUGAUGUUCUGGCCUGCAAAGAAAGGUUUGUACUGGCUUUGCAGUCAGCGAGCAGCUGUUUUCUCUUAAACUGGCAAAGUGGAGCAAUUAGAGGGCGGAUCAUAAAGUAUUGAGUUCCGUGGCCCGAGGAGGAUCCGGGCGCCAUCUUGAGAUUCUUUGGUAUCGCUGUGAAUGAGAAAGGGCUGCCAGGAUAAAUGAGAAGACCACAAUGCGCAUAUCUCAGUCGAAAGAGGGCAGUUUUGACAUCAAAGAUAUGGGGGUGGAACCACAGGAAAGAGUCGUUCUCUUUUUCUUUCUCUCGGAACGGCCAACCCGGGAGACCCCAGUCUGAUCCAGCCCUGAUUUUGUGAUACAGACCAGAUGGAAUUCAUUAACUGAGCGCUGGCACUCUUCUCUUUUAUGCCAAUGAGUCAUCCAGUGGAACUCAUCUGUUUUUUUUUUUCUUUCUUUCUUUCUCGAUACCAUCAUCCAAAGCUGUACCUCGCAAUAAUUAUUCACUCAGAUCCAUUACCAGAGGUCUACUGCGUUCGCCUGCUCUCGCUGUUAAACUCUGAUUAUUCUCGCCAGUGCUUCCUCUAUGGGAUCAGCACUCAAACACAGCCCAGAGGCAGACGGGAGAAUUACAGAGAUAUUGAGAUACACACACACACACACACACACACACACACACACACACCAUUAGCAAGACGAGCUUUUCCUUUGGCGACUAAUAAAGCCUUAUCGCAUUGACCACCUACAGGCAUGUCAGGUUUUGCAUGAAAAUGAAACGGUAACAUGAUCUGUUGAUCUUCCUAUUGCCGGAAUGCUUAAUGCCAUAAAUGAAAUAAAAAAAUAAAUAAAUAACAAAUAAAAAAAACCCAAAACAAAACACGACGCACUGAUCGUUUAAUUCUCAACCGUGGCCGAAGGGAUACCGAACUGGGUCUGUGUUACAGCCUUUUGAAGCUCCAGUCUUCUAACGUUCCUGCAGCACAACUCCAGCACCAUUAGGCUUGUACUCAUGGGCUCAUUUGCAGCAGCUCAGCUCCCGAAACAGAGCCCACCACCCUGGAGGAAAUGCUUUACACACUCAUCUGUCAUGAGAGAGAGAGAGAGAGAGAGAGUGUGAGAGAGUGUGUGUGUGUGAAAGAGAGAAAGAGAGGUAGACAGGCAGCCAGUUGAGCAGUCACUCUGCGUGUGUGUGUGUGUGUGUGUGUAGUACAGCAAACACAGCAGGGAGAUGGAGGCUUUUGUCAGGCUCCAGAGCGUGACCAGUCUCCACACACUGUACACACAGAACAGUUGCACUUUUUAUUAUUAUUUUUAUUUUUACCCAUUUAACUUAAAAUGGAGCGUUAUUUACUGUGAUUACUGCUGCUCGUAAAACUAAUCACACAGGGAAUGGCAACAGAAAAAGUCAGCAUGAUCCACACGUGAAUUUUGUACAUUUUGAACACACGUAAUGUUCCACACAUUUUCCACCUGGAGUGCAUGUGGUUGUGUUUUUUUUUUGUUUGUUUUUUAAAUUGUUUUUUUUUAAAUGUAUAUAAUGUAUAUUUAUAACCAAUACUCUCUCUUCUUUUUUUUUUUUUUGUUUGCACACGUGACCUUUUCAAGAUUCAUUCUCACAUUUGAUUCAUGUUCACGUGGACCCCGCCAAUCUAUAAUUUAUUUUCACGCGAUUCAUUUUUCUACACGUGCAAUUUCAGGCCAUGAUACGGUGAAAUGUGCUCUCACGUUUUUAUACUCUCUCACGUUAUUCGUAUAAUAAUCACGUUGUGAAACCCUCGUGAUCACAAGGUUGGCGUGUUAUUUCUCUGUACGGGUUUGCCGUGUAGUGAUUUACAUACACGUGAUCCAGACGUGCAGGUUCACAGAUUCGCAGUGAGAAG